UACGGAGGGUGCGAGCGUUGUCCGGAAUCACUGGGCGUAAAGGGCGCGUAGGCGGCCUGAUAAGUAGGGGGUGAAAUCCUGCGGCUUAACCGCAGGGCUGCCUUCUAAACUGUCAGGCUUGAGCACAGUAGAGGCAGGUGGAAUUCCCGGUGUAGCGGUGGAAUGCGUAGAGAUCGGGAAGAACAUCAGUGGCGAAGGCGGCCUGCUGGGCUGUUGCUGACGCUGAGGCGCGACAGCGGUGGGG
rnacentral:rRNA from 1 species